rnacentral:rRNA from 1 species
GAGUGUCAUGGUAUUCUCAACCUUCAUAAUUUUUGUGUUCAAAAGUUAUUGAAGGCUUGGACUUGGAGGUUUGUGCUGGCUCUCUUAAUUGAAGUCGGCUCCUCUUAAAUGUAUUAGCGUGAACGUUUACGGAUCGCUAUCAGUGUGAUAAUUAUCUGCGCUGUUAGUGUUGAAGUAUCAUUUGGUGUCUCGCUUCUAACCGUCCUUUUGCAAGGACAAAAUUUUACUUUGACAUCUGACCUCAAAUCAGGCGGGACUACCCGCUGAACUUAAGCAUAUCAAUAAGCGGAGGAAAAGAAACUAACAAGGAUUCCCCUAGUAACUGCGAGUGAAGCGGGAAAAGCUCAAAUUUAAAAUCUGGCAGUCUUUGGCUGUCCGAGUUGUAGUCUGGAGAAGCGUCUUCCGUGC